rnacentral:tRNA from 1 species
AUUUAUAUAGUAUUAAAAGCAUAUAU